rnacentral:rRNA from 1 species
GACGAACGCUGGCGGCGUGCUUAACACAUGCAAGUCGAACGGAAAGACCCUGCUUUUGUGGGGUUCUCGAUUGGCGAACGGGUGAGUAACACGUGUGUAACCUGUCCCUGUCUUUCGGAUAACUUCACGAGACUGGGGCUAAUACCGGAUAUGAUCUCCUGCUGCGUGGUGUGGGAUGGAGAGUUUCGGCGGUUGUGGAUCGACUCGCAGGUUAUCCGCUUCUUGGUGGGGUAGGUGAGGACCAAGGCUUUGACGGAUAGCCGGCCUGAGAGCGUGACCGGCCACAUUGGGACUGAGAGACGGCGCAGACUGCUACGGGAGGCAACAGUCGGGAAUAUUACAGAAUGGGCGGAAGUCUGAUGCAGCAACGCCGCGUGCGGGAUGACGGCCUUCUGGUUGUAAACCGCUUUCGAAUGAGACGAAGCGUGAGUGACGGUAAUGGGUAAAGAAGCACCGGCUAACUACGUG